GUGGGGAAUAUUGGACAAUGGGCGCAAGCCUGAUCCAGCCAUGCCGCGUGAGUGAUGAAGGCCCUAGGGUUGUAAAGCUCUUUCAGUGGGGACGAUAAUGACGGUACCCACAGAAGAAGCCCCGGCUAACUUCGUGCCAGCAGCCGCGGUAAUACGAAGGGGGCUAGCGUUGUUCGGAUUUACUGGACGUAAAGCGCACGUAGGCGGAUCGUUAAGUCGAGGGUGAAAUCCUGGAGCUCAACUCCAGAACUGCCUUCGAUACUGGCGAUCUUGAGUCCGGAAGAGGUGAGUGGAACUCCUAGUGUAGAGGUGGAAUUCGUAGAUAUUAGGAAGAACACCAGUGGCGAAGGCGGCUCACUGGUCCGGUACUGACGCUGAGGUGCGAAAGCGUGGGGAGCAAACAGGAUUAGAAACCCGGGUAGUCC
rnacentral:rRNA from 1 species